ensembl:lncRNA
AGUGUUGUGUUAGUUUCUGGUUAGCCGCUAUGCUAUUUUCUGUCUAUGAAUUUGACUACUUCGCCCUCAUAUAAUCAUACAGUAUUUAUCCUUCUGUGUCUGGCUUAUUUCACUUAGUAUAAUGUCUCCAGGGGUUGUCAUUGCCUGUGUAGCAUGUAUCAGAAUUUCCUUCCCCUUUUUUUGGGUCUUUUUAGGGCCGCACCCAUGACAUAUGGAAGUUCCCAGGCUAGGGGUUGAAUCGGAGCUGUAGCUGCCAGCCUACACCACACCCACAGCAACGUGGGUUCCGAGCCACGUCUGUGACCUACACCACAGCUCAUGGCAACGCCAGGUCCUUAACCUGCUGAGCGAGGCCAGGUAUUGAACCUGCGUCCUCAUGGAUACCAGUCAGAUUCGUUUCUGCUGAGCCACUACGGGAACUCCAGAAUUCCCUUCCUUUUUAUGGCUGAAUAGUAUUCCACUGUCUGGAUAGACUACGUUACGUUUCUCUAUCCAGCCAAAGAUGCUUGGGUGGUUUCCACCGUUCGGCUACUGUGAGUAGCGCUGCUGUAAACACUGGCAUCCAAGUGUCUGAAUCUCUGCCUUUGGCUCUUUGCGAUAUUUACCUGGGAGUAGAAUCCGCUGGUAAUUCUCUUUUAAAAACUUUGAGGACCUGCGCUUGUCCCCGGUGGCCGCCCCAUUUCACAUGCCCACCAGCAAUGCACAGGGGCUCCAGUCUCACCACAUCCUAGCCAGCACAGUUUUCACCCCGUGGCCUUGCACUGAGUUUUCGAAAUCCAGUGUGUAUUUAACAGAUUGGAGCAUCUUGUUGGACCAGCUCAGUUUCCAGGGCUGGGCAGUCACAUGAAGCCGCCCCACGUUAGAUCGUUCAUAUUUGCUUUCACGACCGAUGUGGUUGGACUUAAGUCUUACAUCUUGCUGUUUGUUUUCUGUUUAUCUCCUGUGUUCUUUGUUUCCUUUUUUUUUUUUUUUUUAAGAGUAAUUAAGUAAUUUGGCACUCCUUCUUAUCUCCACUAGUCGCCGAUUCUCACCACCUCUCUGUCACCCUAAAGUUUCCAUUCCGCGUCUUUGGCCGGGACUUGGGCUCCGAUCCUGAGUGAGGUGGGCUUUUGGGGGUGGGGGUGGGGUGGGGGCUGACCCGACCUGACUUUUUUUUUUAUCCACACCUGCAGCCGCUUGGGCAGGCGUGUUUCUGCCGGCCAGGUUCCUGGAAGAGGAAUUGCUAAGGCAAAAAGGGAAGCGUGUGCUGAGGUUUGGGGAGGCCCUGCCAAAUGGCAUUCCAGAAAGACUUCCCCGCUCUCACCCCUCGCAGACAGCAGCCAGGAUUUAUCGAGUGAGUGUUCGCUGCCAGGUCUGGGCCGGCCCUUAGAGAUGCUGGUGAGAAGCAGGCCGGGUCCUGCUGUUUAAAUACCUCUCAGCCCUGGAAGCACAGGGCAGCCUCUGAGCUCAGAGGAAGGCGAAACUUUCAGAGGGACCAAAAAAGGAGAGGCCAGAGGCUAUUGUGGGUGGCCGAGGGAGCUGUGGCACCGCCCGGGCAGCCUGAGAGCUGGCUGGACCAGGAGGCAGACUGCAUUGGUCUGGGGGCCACAUGUGUGGGUUCCCCAUCCGCUUGGGACAUGUCGGGUACAGUUGAGCAAGAUAGCAGGACCUCCCUCCCGGGGCGCUGGGGAGGAUGCUUCAAGAAGCCAACAGCACACAGGCUGUUGUUUGACUGAGUUGUCCCCGGGUUGGGCGGGAUCAGCAUCUGGAAUGGGUCGGCCUGACCCAGGCUCUGGACCUGUGUAGGACCCGUGUCAGACGAACUUGGGCUUGGAGCCCCAGCCCCUUCCUUCCUCAGGCCAGCUGCCCCAGGCCUCUGUUCAAAGAGGAUCAGGAACAGAAGGGAGCUCCCAUCAUGGCACAGCAGAAACAAACCCAACUAGGAUCCAUGAGGUUGCGGGUUCGAUCCCUGGCCUCUCUCAGUGGGUUAAGGAUCCGGCAUUGCCGUGAGCUGUGGUGCCAUUUGCAGACAUGGCUCGGAUCCAGCGUGGCUGUGGCUCUGGCCUAGGCCGGCGGCUACAGCUCUGAUUGGACCCCUAGCCUGGAACUUCUCUAUGCCACAGGUGUGACCUAAAAAAAAGGCCAAAAAAAAAAAAAAAAAAA